CCAGCAGCUGCGUUAAUUCCAGCUCUAAUAGCAUAUACUAAAGUUGUUGCAGUUAAAAAGCUCGUAGUCGAAUUUCGGUCUCGUGUGGGCUAUCGGCUUAGGUCGGAUGGCAUGCGCGGGCCUUUCUGCUUGGGAAUCUCUGGUUGGUUAACCCCUUCCAGAAGAGUCACAAGCCGUUUACUUUGAAAAAAUUAGAGUGUUCAAAGCAGGCCUACGCUUGAAUACAUUAGCAUGGAAUAAUGGAAUAGGACUUUGGUGCUAUUUUGUUGGUUUAUGGGACCGAAGUAAUGAUUAACAGGGACAGUUGGGGCCGUUUAUAUUUCGUUGUCAGAGGUGAAAUUCUUGGAUUUACGAAAGAUAAACUUCUGCGAAAGCAUUCGGCAAGGAUGUUUUCAUUGAUCAAGAACGAAAGU
rnacentral:rRNA from 1 species